UAAAUAUAUUAAGUUAUAUUUAGAAUAGACUAAGAGAGAUUAACUAGUAAAUAUAAUAUAUUUACUAUAUAGUGUGAGUUCUCUUUUGUAUAAUUGAGAUGAUGAACAAUAUAAUUUAUCGAUAUAGUUACGUUGAAAAAGUAAACCACCUAAAUAUUAUCUUUUUGUGUAUUUACUUUAUGUAAGGGUAGCUUUUAAUUCCCUCCCCUCAAUUAUGAAUUAUAAUCAAAGUUUAUGCUUAGUUGAAUAGCUUCAAACUGUUCUUUGAAAAGGAGAUGUGACGGAAUCCAGAAAUGUGCCACCUGAGUCAAUUCGGACCAAAUUGUUCAAAAAUUAAAAUUAAAAUCACCAUCAAAUUAGACCAAAUCUGACACUGAAUCAUUUUGAAUAAAAAUUGAUUAAAAUCACCAUUCAAUUUCAAUUUAUUACCUUUCUCAUAUUUAAAAUCGAUGAUUUUUAGUUCAGAUUGAAUCUUUGUCCAAGUCUAUAUAGUUGUUGUGCCGAAUAUGACUUAAAAUAGUUUAUUUCCUUUUAAAAAAUAUAACUUAAUAUUAAAUAAUUCCAUGCAUCACUUGCAUUCAGGGAUGAAACUAGAA
rnacentral:misc_RNA from 1 species